UGGGGAAUAUUGCACAAUGGGCGCAAGCCUGAUGCAGCAACGCCGCGUGAGGGACGACGGCCUUCGGGUUGUAAACCUCUUUUAGUAGGGAAGAAGCGAAAGUGACGGUACCUGCAGAAAAAAGCACCGGCUAACUACGUGCCAGCAGCCGCGGUAAUACNUAGGGUGCGAGCGUUGUCCGGAAUUAUUGGGCGUAAAGAGCUCGUAGGCGGUCUGUCGCGUCUGCUGUGAAAACCCGAGGCUCAACCUCGGGCCUGCAGUGGGUACGGGCAGACUAGAGUGCGGUAGGGGAGAAUGGAAUUCCUGGUGUAGCGGUGGAAUGCGCAGAUAUCAGGAGGAACACCGAUGGCGAAGGCAGUUCUCUGGGCCGUAACUGACGCUGAGGAGCGAAAGCGUGGGGAGCGAA
rnacentral:rRNA from 1 species